rnacentral:rRNA from 1 species
AGCGAACGCUGGCGGCAGGCUUAACACAUGCAAGUCGAGCGGGCAUCCUUGUGGUGCCAGCGGCAGACGGGUGAGUAACGCGUGGGAACGUGCCCUUCGGUUCGGAAUAACUCAGGGAAACUUGAGCUAAUACCGGAUACGUGCGAGAGCAGAAAGGUUUAUCUGCCGAAGGAUCGGCCCGCGUCUGAUUAGCUAGUUGGUGAGGUUAUGGCUCACCAAGGCGACGAUCAGUAGCUGGUCUGAGAGGAUGAUCAGCCACACUGGGACUGAGACACGGCCCAGACUCCUACGGGAGGCAGCAGUGGGGAAUAUUGGACAAUGGGGGCAACCCUGAUCCAGCCAUGCCGCGUGAGUGAUGACGGCCUUAGGGUUGUAAAGCUCUUUUCUCCGGGACGAUAAUGACGGUACCGGAGGAAUAAGCCCCGGCUAACUUCGUG